rnacentral:lncRNA from 1 species
ACCAAUUAAAAUAAAGAAGAAAAUAGAAAAUUCAUGAAAAAUAGAAAAUUAGUGAAAUAAAAUGUGGAAAAUUAAAAAUCAGAUGAAGAAAUAAAAGAGAAUUUUAGAAAUUAUUUUGGGAUUUUUUGGAUGAAAAAUGGAAUUACUAUAAAUUUUAAAAUAAAAAAGAAUUAAAAAUAAUAAAAUAAAAAGAAUAAAAAUCAUAAAAAACACAGAGCGUUGGAUCACGCCUCAUUAAUUGACGUGGUGUAAGACCCAAAUUUUGACCCUAAGAUCCCUGAUGUUAUCUUAUCAUUGGCAUUGUGAUCACACCUUGGUAUCC